GGACAGCCUCAGCAGAGGAAGCAGAGAGGCCCCCCAGGAUCUUGCUGAGCAGAGGGCAGCACGCACUGGGUUGAACUGCCCUGGUCACUGCAGGCGGGCUGUACCAUUUGUGGAGCUCACAGAGAUGGCAUCCCUGGAGUUCCCACCUGCUGGAGGGGAGAGUGACCCUCAGGCACUCACUAGGCAGGCAGGGUCCAUUCUGUAGUAGUGGGUCUGGACUGCCUGAGGCGAUGGCCCCUCCAGACCUGCCCUGGCCAAGCUGAAGUCCACCUGGAAAGUCUCCCAGUGAAUGGGGAGCAGCGAAGCCCCCAACCAGGACGAAGCCCAGUGCUCCUCAGAAGAGGCCAGCAAAACCCAGACACUCAGCAGUGAGAUAUCUGUGACUCCGACGGUGCACUCCAGGGUUUGGGUGAGAAUGUGGACGCAGAGAGGAAAGGAGCAGAAGGUGUAAGAACAAGCAGAGGAGCCGCUGGAGCUGCUUCUGAAAUGCACACCCGGGGUAAGCAUCCAGCCGAUAAAGACACCGCGAACGGGAAGGCGCGGCUGUGAGGAUGAUCCAAAAUGAAACACACAGAACACUGGCCAGUGCGGAGAAUCCCAGCGACCAGGGCCAAUGUCCCAAGGUUGAAGGUGCAUGAAAUUGCAGGCCCUGAGGGAGGCGGGCUGAGUGUUUCAAGAUAUAAUGGCUGAACCAUUUCCAAAUUUGAUGACAACCAUGAAUCUAUAUAGAUCCAAGUUCAACCAGGACCAACUAGGAUAAACAGAGAACAAUCACACAAAGCCAUAGUCGUAACCGAUUUUCUGAAACCAGCAUUAAAGAGAAGGUCCUAAAAGUUGCCAAGGAACUGCCUAAAAGUGACACCUGUGUGGCUUUGGAAAUGAGGCAAGCCAGAGGUCAGUGGGGUCAAAUCUCCAGAGAAGCGAAAGACACUGUGGACCUAGAACUCUCUACCCUAAAAAAGGAACCUAAAAAAGAAGACAAAAUGAAGACACCAUCAGACUUGCA
rnacentral:lncRNA from 1 species